UUCGGGGACCGAAUGACAGGUGGUGCAUGGUUGUCGUCUGCUCGUGUCGUGAGAUGUUGGGUUAAGUCCCGCAACGAGCACAACCCUUGUCCUUAGUUGCCAGCAUUAAGUUGGGCACUCUAAGGAGACUGCCGGUGACAAACCGGAGGAAGGUGGGGAUGACGUCAAAUCAUCAUGCCCCUUAUGACCUGGGCUACACACGUGCUACAAUGGAUGGUACAAAGGGCAGCAAAACCGCGAGGUCGAGCAAAUCCAUAAAGCCAUUCUCAGUUCGGAUUGUAGGCUGCAACUCGCCUACAUGAAGCCGGAAUCGCUAGUAAUCGCGGAUCAGCAUGCCGCGGUGAAUACGUUCCCGGGCCUUGUACACACCGCCCGUCACACCACGAGAGUUGGCAACACCCGAAGUCGGUGAGGU
rnacentral:rRNA from 1 species